rnacentral:lncRNA from 1 species
GUAAGAACCACAUGGAUGAGACUGCAAAGAAAGGAUAUUUUGCUGCAGCAGAAACACUUCUAAUUGGAAGCAGAAGUGGGGUCCUCUGGAUCUCUUUCUGUUCUAUUUGGCCGUCCAGUUGAACAGCACAGGGUGCUGAAGGCAUCUCAGGAGCAUGGGCACAGAAGGAGAAAGACAACCUGAAUGUGGGCCACGCCCUUCCAAGAUAAGAAGCACUGGUGGGCCUAUUGAUAUACCUCAGCUGCAGUAUGAGCUGGAUUAGAGGCAAAAGCAUUUGGGAGAGGGGUUUGAUACCACCAAAGAGGUGGAAGGAGUGUGGGCAGGAAGUACCCCACUGCCUCUUCACCUUGUUCCACACCACUCUGGCAGUGGAAACCAGAUGGGCUCUCCAGGCCUGCAGUUUCGUCAGUCUGUGGAGUGAGGAGAAAACUCUUUGGCCAUCCCCAAGACUUUGCUUCCCGCUGCGAAGAUCUACUUAUUUUAUCAGCAUAAAACCCGUGCUGGAUGAAUGGCUGGAUACGUGUGAAAAAUACAUGUCUGGAAUCUGGUCUGAACUGUAGAAACAUGUUGAAAUGAUCCCAGGGAAUAAGAUUCUUGAGUUACCCGUUUACAGCCCGCACACAUUUCAUAUCUGACAGUAGGAAAAAGCAAUGUAAAAAUACCCUUAAGAAUGUGAAUCUCUGCUCUGAUUUGCACUUAAAAGGCAACAUCUGAUUAAUGUCUGUGUUUUAUUAGCAGAAGACUGAGACGAUGAAAGCGUCUCAGAUAUUACCUCUAUUGUAUCAGAUACUUUUGAUAGCAUACUGUGGAAGAAAAUGUCACAUUUCAUUAAAA